AGCGUAGGCGGAUUCUUAAGUGGGAUGUGAAAUACCCGGGCUUAACCUGGGCGCUGCAUUCCAAACUGGGAAUCUAGAGUGCAGGAGGGGAGAGUGGAAUUCCUAGUGUAGCGGUGAAAUGCGUAGAGAUUAGGAAGAACACCAGUGGCGAAGGCGACUCUCUGGACUGUAACUGACGCUGAGGCUCGAAAGCGUGGGAGCAAACA
rnacentral:rRNA from 1 species